AGGUCUGUCUGUGGUGGUUCUAUAUUGAUGUUUUGCUUACUGUGUUUUCCCAUAAAACACACCUAAAUGGAUAAAGAGGGCUUGUGCUGCUUGUCCUACAACAGGCAGUUGACAGGAACAAACAUAAACCAACAUAAACUCUUCGGCAGUAUUCUCGCUGCUUUGCUGUAAUACAGGAUAGAAUUUCACAAAAAUUGGUCUAACUAGGAGCGAACAAAUUAGCCAAUUGCAUAGUGGUCAAAUUUGCUACCACAGGCAUUAACUGCAGUCCUACUUAUUUAUGAGAAACAGGCUUCCCAGGUAAAGCCAUAACAAGCCAAGCUCACGCCUCCUGCAGCAUUUGAUCACCCACGUUGUCAGAGCAGCACAGCAGGCACCACGAGUUCCUGGCCAGCCACUACCUCCAUUUCUCACAGUCACAUUAUCUUCUAUGUAACUGGAAAAAGGCUGGAUCCCUGUUGUUCUGAAACCUAUCAACAACACUGGGGAAGGCAAAAGGAAUUCCAAUUCUUUUUCCUUUCCCAUAUCUAUUUUUCUUCCUUUUCAGGAGAGAAAACAGGUUUUCCAAGCUGCUAGUACAAACAUUAAAUUGCUAAAAACCUGCCAACAUUGUCUCCAACUAUAGUAUCAGUGAUGUAACUUCCAUCCAUGAGGGUUUGGGGUGCUGGUUUGGCUCUGCUUUUGCUUCUUUUUUUCUUCCCCCCCCCCAACAGAAAACCUUUGGAGCCCAUAAAAGUGGAAGAGAUUUGGGGCAAAGGGCAAGCAACUCCCAAGAAAAGUUAUGAAUGGAACUAUGCUACAGAGAGCCUUGCCUUUCCUUUCUUGUACAGGAGAAAUCAUUCAGAUGUUGCAAAAACUGAUCCAUUAUCUUUUGUGGGUUUCUUAAAAUAAUCUAAAAACAGAAUUGUACACCAUAGUAAGAUCGCAGAUUUAUUUCAUCCCAGAGAGCACAAAACAUUCUCUGUACAUAUACACAGCAACUCACUUCUUUCCUGAAACAAAGUUUUCAUUGAUCCUUUGCCACACACUCAAUUAUUGUUUCUAAUCAUGAUCGUUUAUUUAAGGUAUUGUGAACUGUAAACAAUGCAAACAAUGCAAAAUAAAAGCAUCUGUCCAUGUUGACAUGAAUGUAAUUGGCAGGUUAGAUACCUAUAUCAACUGGUCCCAAAGGCAUUCUUCUUAAAUUCAGAAAGCCCAAAGUAAAUUUAAAUUACAAUUUACAGAAUAAUCUUGAAAUCAGCCACUUUUCAAGGUAGUGUUAUCUUGUAUAGAUAAAACUCACAAUCUGUCAAUUCAAUCCCAGGAAAUGCUUCAUUGUUUUAAAAUAUAAUCCUAAAGACAUUUUUUUUUUGAAAGCUUCUUUCUUUUUUUAAUGCAGUGGAUUAUGCAAAAUUCGUGGUCCUCCUUGCAACCAUGGGGGGAAAUAAUCUUCCUCUCGUAAUGUAGCAAUUACAGAUACAUAUGUAAAAAGAGCAGAAAUCAAGGCACUUUGAAACAACACUUUAAGAAAAUACUUGACUAUGGGAUAUUCAGGGGAUUUCAAGUCAGGUUUUCCAUAGUCUCACUGUAAAAAUAAGCAACCUUUUCCUCCUCCUGUUCCCCACCCCAAACUCUGAGGAAAACGGCCACCAAAUGCACUCAGCUAGCCUCAAAGUCACACGUGCUCCAUUGCAGAUCUUGCUUUCAAUGUCUCUUUUGUUUGAUGGCUGGUGUUUCAACAUCCUCAGCUUGGAACAGAGAAAGGUCAGAGCGAGUCUUCUGGCAUUCACAAACCUGCACCAGGCCCCGCCAAGAGAAGAUUGAUGCCAUAGUACAUUUUCCCCAGUCAAGAGAAGGAAGUGGAAGCUCUGAAUCCACGACAAACUAUGUUCGUCAGAGGGAUUUGUUUCCCAAAGGUGUUUAGCUUUGCUACAUUCCUUUGUGAAACUUUUCUGCUGGUGCUAGUAAUGUUUUUGAGUUACCCACUGUGCCAUGUUACUGCCUCAGUAUCGUAACCUGAACAGGUUCCCAGCAGCAAGACAUUUUAGCCAUACAUUCCAGCAUACAGCCUUUUAAAAAAACUCCCCUCCAGAUUUUGCUUCACCCCUACGUUAUCCCCACUGCCCUCCCACCUGCUGCCCUCGCCUUUCCUCCCUUGCGUGGGGAGGAGAGGCUGCACCAUUAAACUUCCACGGUGCAAGGCCAAGGUCCCUUCCACAGCCAGAGAGAAGCUGUUGCUAAAGGUUCCUUAAAAGCUUUGGCACUUCACGGCAGUUGGAACUACUCAACCAGAGCUGGGAGCCAAAGCUUUGCCACAGCAUUAAUGGGCUUUUGCCCUUUUAAAUUUUAUAAGCCUGUCGCCUUUCUGAUGCGCGCAGUUUUAUUCACAGCCCUAAAUGGCCAUUUCAUAUUUAAAAGAAAGCUUCCAUAGGUAGCACCCUAAAACUACCCCAGGUCAUUCAUCACCCCAGCACUCCUACUGUCUCUUAGGAAACCUUUGAUAGAGCAUUUGUUCAGGCUGCCAAGUUAAAUCCUCUUCUCUCGUGUCAAUGCAUUGAAAAAAGCAGUCAGAACACCAGCUUCACUCAGGCCUGCUGAAGUAAAUGGAGAAAACCAAUUCCUCUGGCACUACAGAGCCAUUAAGCCGUUUGCAGAUUAUUAACUGAAGCACAAAAAUACACACGGCGCACAAUCGGACGACAGAGCAGAGCUAUGCCUUGAGUUCGCUUCGGUCCCGAUAAACUGACGAUACAGCCGCAAUUUGCACCAAGUCACGCAGCUGCCGGGCUGGGGAGCGGGACCCCGGCAAGCCCAGACAAAAGCGGCGAUGCGGGGUCCCGCUGCCACGGCCGGGCAGGUUCCACCUUUAGCAAAGGCGGCGGUGGGGGCUGCGCUCCAAGGGGCACCCCCGAGGCGCCGCCCCGCGUCUCUCAUCGCAGCCUCCGAGGCGGCACCGAAAUUAAACUUUGCACGUGCAAAACAAAGUUUACAGUCUAAAACCCCGAUUAUAGUAACAACUUCCUCCCCCUGUCGCAGGCUGCCGUACUCCUUCCCCGCUACCGCGCCAGCCCAGAAUGCUAUCCCGAGCCCCGCGGGGGGGUGGGGGGGACAAGAGCGUGGCUGGAUGGCUCCUAUUUUUAUGUUUACAUUCCUGAAGUGUCUUUUAACUGGCUGCCAUUCUCCCUCUCCCCGCGAGCAGCUCCGCCGGCCGCCCCUGGAAGCGCUUCCCCCGCUCCCCUCGCACAAAGGCGGGCGAGCCCCGGCCGGGUCGGGCCGGGCAGGGCAGGGCACCCCCGGCCCUCUGCCCCCGCGCCCCCUCCCCUCCGCCCGGCGGCUUCCUGGACAGAUGCACGGGGGGAGGGAGGGGAAGCGGGACGGAGGGGGGCUGCUCCUUCCUCCUGCCCGGCGAGAGAGGCCCAGGUCCCAACUGGCUCUCAAAACCCAGACGCAAGGAAUGUACACCCAGGCAAGCUUCCCGGAGCCCCGAGAACAGGCGCAGGCUUCCCCACGCGUCUGCCGAGCCCCGCACGGGCGGCCGGGCACGCACGCCCCGAGCCGCAGCCCCGGCCCCGCUGCGGGGCUCCUGCCCGCCCCGGCGGAGCUCGCCCCGGCCGGGGGCAGCCGCCGCCCCGGUCCCCGCAGCCCCCUUUGUGCUUGCGGCGGCUCCGACGCCCGCCCGCCUCCCGCCGCGGCUGCUCCAAGUUCGCCCCGGGCCGGGUCCCUCCGCGACCCCGCGGCCGGCCCGGGAAGGGCAUUGCCCGGCUGGAGCCGCUUCCCCGCCCGGGCCCGGCUCCGCGGCUGCUCGCUCGCCCGCGCCCCGCGCCCUCGCCGGGGACAGUCUGCCCCUUUAAGAAGUCUCCACACAUUUUCUCCCCUUGCAGAAUAAAUAUGUUGUUGUUUUCUUUUUUUUUUUUUUCCUCCCUGUACACCUUUUUCCCCAGCGUGGCCGCUCCAUUGUUUCUGCUCCGCCGAGACGCAACCCCUGCCCGGCCGCGAACGGGGAGGUGCGAGCAGGGAGCGCAAAUAGACGCGAAACUUACCUACGGAUUGCAAAGCAGCCUUGCAGCAGCAAAAUAAUAAGGAAGAAGGCAGGCAAAAUCCUCUUUCCCAACUGAUUUGCAGCUCUACUCGGGGGAAAACCACCCUGGACACAGCACACUCUCAAGCAUGAGGUGUCUCCGUCUCUGUCGUCUUCACGAGAGAAUUUUUACGGGCAUGGAAGGAACUACCGGGCGGGCAGGGGGAUUACAGGGGAACGCCGAGACAUCCUGCUGGCUCCGUUAUUGCACUUUAGCCCCCCACCCCCCUCCAUUUAUUGCCACCACCCCCACCCUCGGGGCGGCUGUUAUUUUCGGAGCCCGGAGCUCCCGCCACCCAGGAAAUCCAGCCCGAUUUCCAGGGAGAAAAUAAGAAGAAACCGUCCUUGUCUGACGAGCCCCAAUCUGCUAAAAAACAUCUCCCUCGACUUCUCUUCCCCUUGAUAAAACACUUCCAGGACAAUCAAUAUUUUAUGAUGAGUUGUUAAUAAGCCUAAUAUAUUCAUCCCUGCUCCAACGGGGCUUGUUAGAUUAUGCAAUUAAGAUAAGCAAUUUAAACAGCACUGUGUAGCUUCUCGCUGGUCACAUUCGUCUUGUUGUUGGAGGAGGAGAACGACCGGGACUGUAAAGGGAUGUCGGAUCGCUCGGGGAAGGGGAAGAUUGUCUAAUUUUUUCUUAUUUUUUCCAGCUGCGUGCAGGCGGAACGGAGCGCUACCGCCGCCGGUGCCCCCGCGGGGCUGCCCCCGUCCGCCGUCCGCCGCGCUGACCUGCGCGGGGCUGCGGCCCCCGCCCCGCUCAUUCACGCCUCCGUGGCUUCCCCGGUGAAAAGACCCCUCUGCCCGCCCUUCCCCGUGUGCCUCGGGGCGCGGGGGUCCCUGCGGGCGCUGCGCCCGCGGCCGCUCCCAGCGCGGAGACGGAGCGGCGGCCGCCCGGCCCG